GCCCAGGUGGUGAAAUUGGUAGACGCGCUGGCUUCAGGUGCCAGUGUCCGCAAGGACGUGAAGGUUCGAGUCCUUUCCUGGGCA
rnacentral:tRNA from 1 species